CGAAACAGACGUGUUUUGAUGGGGAAAAUACAUAAAAAAUGCAGUGCAUUUUUCCAAGCAGCCAUCAGACCAUCUAAUUCAGGCCAACGAGGGCAAAGCUGCGAAGCUCUUCGGCUGACCUUCUCCAUGAGGACCUUGUCCCAGACAGGGGCCCCCUGGAAAGGGACGUACUGACCAAGGCAGGAAAGAGAAGGCCAAUUUUCCCAAGACGAUUAAUCUUACUGAGGUUCCAUUUGAAAACAGCCUUCGUGUUCUUCUAGUAUGUUGUUUUUCUGAGGAAAUCAUUUUCAGAAGCAUGUGAUGUAAUCAUCUUAAGAAGAUAAGCGUUCAUUUACAUAGCAUUUAUUCUGUGCUAAACAUAGUAAGUAAUUCCUUGAUGAAGAACCCAGACACAGAGAUAGUAAGUAACUUGCCCAAGUCCACACAGCUAGCAAGUGCCUAGCUGGGGUGCAAACCAGGUAGUCUGGCCACAGAGUCUGGGCUCCGCGUGGUGGAAAAAGCACCUCCCGUGUUGGAAUCUGUGUGCCCUUGGACAAGUCCCAUAUCCUUCCUGAGUCACUAAUGCCUCCCCAGCACUGUUGUGGGAGGAUUAGUCACUGGGGCAGGCCCUCAAUAAACAUGAGCUGGAUCUGAGUCCCAGGGGAGUGCCACACAACUUCCAUGGGCCUCCCCUGACCCUCCCAGGCUUCAGGAAGCUCUUCCACCUCUGCAAUGUUGGGUGGAGUAGCAAAAAAAGGCACGCAAGGAUCCAGCAGGCCUGUAGGACAUGGCGGUUUAUUGUGAAAAUGGUCUGAAUUGAUAUUGGUAGUGCCUCCACCCCUACACAUACACACAUACAUGGGUUCCUAAUACACAUGUACACAACACACAACACACAACUAACCAACGAGAAUCCAUCAGCAUUGAACCGCAGGCAGCACACUGGCAGGUGCCUGGAGCGGUUAC
rnacentral:lncRNA from 10 species